UAAAGUUUAUUUACAGAAAACAUCAUAUGUAUUUCAUUUAUAUUUUAUUCAUAUAUUUUUCAUUUUUCUUUAAUUUUUAUAAUGACAUAUUUCAAUGAAAUUUAUAAUCCGUUUAUUUUCAUUUAAGUUUUAAUUUUUUUAAGAUUUAUUUAAUUAUUUGAAAGGCAGAGCUACAGAGCUACAGAAGGUAGAGGUGGAGAGAGAGAGAGACAGAGAGAUGGGGUGAGGGGAAACCUGAAGCCUUGCCAUUGCAAGCCUCACCUUGCUGGGACUGCUACCACUGCUGUCUCCUAUCUGAAGCAGGCUCCUGUGACUCCCAGGUCCCAACUGCUGCUCCCACCACUGGCUCGCUGGAAGUGCCUACCCUGCUCCAAAGCCUUUCUGUCCCUCUGCCUUGGUAAGGCCAUCCCAUAAUGUCUCCUGCAGUCAUCUCCACCCCAACAGGCAGUGCCUCUGCUACCUUGCUGCUCAAGCUGCCAUGGACCACACCGAAGCUAUGGACACCACCCCUCCUUCCAAGAUGGUCAUCUUCCAUUCUCUGGCUGCCUCUGUGGGGAGCUGCCUCCCGUUGUCCAUGGUGCUUCCUGGUGCUGGGCACACACCACACAGUGUCAGUUCCAAUUACCCCUUGAAUCCAGGAGCUUCUACUCUUCCCACAAGUUGGGUACCUGAUGUGCACCAUUGUGAGAGCACUUUGGUUUUGUAGAGGCCAAUGCCCCAACACAAGCAAUUGGCCUAACUUCCUUUCCCACCAAGUCCCAGCCUUAGGCUGUCAGGUAUAUGCAUUUGACACAGCCAUCAUGUUACCCUGAAGGAAGCCAGACUGGCUUACCAGUUGAUCGCUAGCUUUGGAGUCAUUGCCAAGUCCUUGCAUACUGCUUAGCUGGCACUAGGCACUGUACCUCAUUGUUUGCCAGUCUGCUUUGGAGCCCAUAGAGUGUCUGUGGGACCAGCACCCACUCUGGGUGUCGGGAUCAUUGGGUUUUUUGUGUCCCCUCCAGGACCCGUUUCUGAUUCCAAAGUUUCAACUUAGGCACAGGGACACUUGCUGCCAUUCCUUCUCCUGCUUUUGGUCAGGGACCUUUGAUUCCAGCUAGCCUCAGGGGUAGAGCCUCUCAAAUUAAAAAAGAAAAGAAAGACAAGAAAAACUUAGGGAGAAACUACUAGCUCCCCCUUCAACAAGAACAUCAGGGUCCCUGCUGCUCAGGUGGUGUGCCCUUUUUGACUGUGGAGGAGCCAGCAUUGUUAAUGAUGCACCUGGGUGUGGGAUAGCUGUGCCGGUGCUGUGGGCACGGGAAACAGCUGCUGGAGUCCUCUGCUCUCUCACCCUUGGCAUCAUAGUAGCAGCCACCAAAGCCUUCCUUUCUCCUUUCAGUCCCUAUAAAACCUACCUUGCUCUAUUCCUACAGAAGCCUGAGGCCUGAAGCUCAACGUCUGUGUGUAUACAUCAGAGUGUGUGUGUGUGUGUGUGUGUGUGUGUGUUGUGCAUCUCUGUAUGCCGGAGGACGUGUGGCAGACUGGUCUUGUGAGAACCCACUGGAUGUGAAGGCCAUUGGCCGUGCCCUCCCUGACUUCACAUGGUCACCUGAGGACCCAAUUCUGCACAGCAUCUUCACUGUUAGAGCAUGGAGGACUUGUCCUGCUGCCCACCAGCACUCCCUGUUCCUUGGUCUUUCUGAGACCCUGUUAUCAGUAAAACUGUGCUCGUAUUCUGCCUCUGCUCCUGUUUCUUUGCUUUGUGACUCACCCGUGGAUUAAGAGUCCACAUGGGCAGUGGUGAUGCAUCAGGCCAGGCCGUGCCAGUUUGCAGUGAGAAUAACAUGAGCAAGUAGCUUUUUGUUAUGAUUGCACAUGCUGACUCCGGAAGUCUCUGUGUUUGAGUGUCAAGAAGGACGAGCCAGGUGGAAGAGAGUCCCAGAGGGGGACCCAACAGGCACCCCCCUCCGCUCCCACUAGCCUCUUCCCUCUGUGCUUCUCUCCCAGUACCGUGACAUCACUGAAGGCUAGGUUCUUUCUAUCCUGUAUUUGGAGAUCAUACUUUAUGAUUUUAUGGUUUCUACAAUUGCUCAAAUGUCCUUUGUGGGUACAUUUUUCCUUAUACUAAAGUCAGACAUGCUCAUGCAUUCCUGAAUCUCCCAGAGCAGAAAUGGCCUGCUAUCCAGCUCCUUGUAUCUAAAGAGACCACGUCAGGAAGAACUCAUGCCUUCUUUGUCAUUACUGCAAGUUUCAAUUUAGUUAGACUCAUCAUGCUACUUAACAAUAGCAGAAAAGAUUCUCUUUAGUCUGACUCCAGUAUGGUACAAAUCACAGGUACUGCUUGGUCUUCACCAGACUCAUGUGUCGGGAAUGCAAUCUAUUUACUCUAAGGUAUUUCACAGCCCAGCAAUAGCAUCAUUAAGGUGGGAUGAAAGCAUUUUCCUCCACUUCUGUCAUCCAUGAAGCAUUUAUUCAGUGAUGUAACCCCACAGGUCCUUCCAGUGGACAUUAAACAUGUGUUCAGUGGUGGCUGAGUGUUGAAGUCUGGAGAUGCACCUCCAGGAAUCGAUAAAGGCAGAGCACAAGCAAGUGUGUAUACCAUGUGCCCAUUUUCCUGAAUGUGUGUGGGUCAGGAAAGAAUCUUAAGCCCAAAGAUGACAAGAUCUGUAGGUUUUAGGAAUGUUCCUGGGACUGUGUGAGAAGGAAAAAUUAAAUACAUCCAGAGCUAAAGCCUUGAGACCGAAGGCUUAAUCCUGCCAUUUUCCAAGCCAUGAUGAUAUGAUGUGUGCAGGAGCUCACAGUGUGGAUACUGAUGAGGGGAGGGAAGAAAGCUGUGAUGACUGUAGUGAUCACGUGCCCUGGUCUUUCCUAGCCAUCUUCCUUGGGUACUGGACACAGAGUCCUCGCAACAAGAGAAACUCUGUUUUUUGUAAUAUGAGAUGAUUGUGGAAGAUCUAGCUCAUGUCUGGAAGGCAGCACAUUCACUAUCAGUGUGUCUACUGACUCUCUAGGUUGUGUCAGGGAUGAUUGUCGAUGGUAGUAUCAGUUACAAGAAAGUACAAAUCUGGACUUGUGGAGCCUAUGUUCUAAUUAAAGGGGAGUAAAGGAUCAAACACAUGCAUGCUUUCAUUUUUGUCCUAGUCUGGUAGGAUUGACACUCACAGAUGGGAUGGGGAAUCAAGCAGCUUGUGGAGGAUUGAGUUGAUGGGUCGUGAAGGGCAUGGGUUUCUGCUAGAACUAUGGACAAGACCAACCUCACUGGAAGGAGAAAUAUGAACAAAAUCCAGAGAGGCCACACAGAACUGGUCAUACAUUGUAUCCAACAAUGGGCAUUGGGAGCCUCUGGGGUGUGGAGUUUCCAGGCCUGGGCCACAGCCCCCACUUUCCCUGCCUCCCUCCAGGGUUAUUUGUAGACCCAAGAGAGCUGCCUUUUAUAGACCAGUUCUUUGUUAUGGGUAAUGAAUGGAUCCAGCAUCUGCUUAGGGCCACUCGGUUGGAGUCACCCUGCCUUCCUGUUGUGGCAUCUGUUGAAGCCUGUAUCUUAAGUCUCCCUUUGCAGACACAGCUGCACUCUUAUUCUGUCACCUGCAGUAACAAAAAAUCAGACUGUCUGAUGCUUGUGGAGCAUGUUGAAUUCUGGCUGCCCCAAUGGUUUGUCCAUUUCAGUAGGCUUGGACCUCAUGUGGCCAGAGACAAAAGAAAAAAGUGUUAGUAGAUGUAAUUAUGUUAAGGAUCUUGAGAUGAGGGUUUCAUGUUGGAUUAUCUGUGAAAGCCUUAACAUGCCAAAUAUCCUUUAUUUAGAAAUGUCAGGAAGAUAUGGACACCCAGCACUGGAGGUGAUGUGAAAACAGAGAUUGGAGUAAAGUGGCCUGAAGCCAAGGAAGCUGUAAAUAAUGGAUGUUAUAAGCCUUAAGAAACAGCUUUUGUCCCAGAGUCUGUGGGAAAUGUGCUCCUGCUGACAUCUUGAUUUCAGACUUCUCUUCUCUGGAGAGGUAAAAGAAAAUUUCCUUCAUUUUAAGACAUCACAUUACUGUUAUAAGCUUAUACUGUGGACUGCAUAGAUCAUUUGUGUGAUCCUUGGGACAGAGCAGACAAAUAUUAUACCCACAAGGGCCAGAGCUCAGACACUGACUGCCUUCAAUUCCACUCAGCUGUGCGGAAUUACUUCCCUUCUGAAUAAAAAGAGAGAGAGAGAGAGAGAGAGAGAGAGAGAGAUAAGAUUUACCAAGCCUAACCUGGGUGUGUCACGUUGACACACCCUAAACUUAACCAAACAGAGCUCUCUGGCCACACCAAUCACAAGCCUCUAGAGAUUCACCAAAAGCAGACAGUCCACUUAAUCUAGAGUCAUAGUAUAACAAGAAAAACCAAAGAAUAUCUCCACAAUGCCAAGAAACCAAGGAAACAAGAACAAGGAAGACAUUAUGAUGCCCUCAAAUGAACAAGACACUCCAAUUCAAGAUUAUGAAGAUGAUGAGACAGAAGAAAUACAAGAUAUAGAUUUCAAAAAAUUUAUGAUAAGAACAUUUAGAAGUUCUCAGAAACAAAUUAUUGAACUUCAGAAAUCCAUACAGGACAGGGUGGAAAAUCUCUCUUGUGAAAAUAAAAUCUUAAGGAGGAAUCAAAAUGAAAUGCAGAAACUAGUAGAACAGGAAAUUGUGAUAUUGAAGAGAAAUCAAAAUGAAAUGAAGAAUUCAAUAGAUUAAAUGCCAAACACAUUUGAGAGCCUUAAAAGAAGAAUCAGUGAAGCAGAAGAGAGAAUCGGACUAAGAAGACAGAGAACAGGAAAGUAUACAGUCAUACCAAGAAAAGAAGAGGAUUAGAAAUCUAAAAAAUAUUGUUGGAAAUCUAUAGGAUACUAUUAAAAAACCCAACAUUUGAGUUCUAGGAGUUCCUGAACGCAUGGAGAGAGAGAAAGGAUUAGAAGGCCUUUUUAGUGAGAUACUAGCAGAGAACCUCCCGGGUUGGAGAAGGACAGAGACAUCCAAGUAUAGGAAGCUCAUAGAACCCCUAAUAAACAUUACCAAAAGAGAUCCUCACCAUGACACGUUGUAAUCAAACUCAACACAGUGAAACAUAAAGAAAAGAUUCUAAAAUGUGCAAGAGAGAAAUGUCAGAUUACUCUCAGAGGAUCUCCAAAGACUCACAGCAGACUUCUCAGCAGAAACACUACAGGCUAGGAGGGAAUGGCGAGACAUAGCCCAAGUACUAAGAAAGAAAAAUUGCCAGCCCAGAAUCUUAUAUGCUGCAAAGCUCUCAUUUGUGAAUGAAGGUGAAAUAAAGACCUUUCAUAGCAAACAGAAAUUGAAAGAAUUUGUCGCCACUCGUCCAGCCCUGCAAAAGAUGCUUAAAGAUUUGUUACACACAGAAACACAGAAACACGGCCAUAAAUAUGAAUGAAGGUAAAGGAAGAAAACCUCGCAGUAAAAGACCACACAAAGUUCAAAGCAUAUAUUAGAAAAUAUCUUUGGCAAAUGGCAGGGCAAAGUUACUAUUUAUCAAUAGUCACAUUGAACGUUAAUGGAAUCAACUCUCCAGUUAAAAGACACAGAGUGGCUGAAUAGAUUAAGGAGCAAAACCCAUCUAUUUGCUGCUUACAAGAAACACAUCUUUCCAACAAAGAUACAUGCAGACUGAAAAUGAAAGGUUGGAAAAAGAUAUUUCAUGCCAACAGAAACCAAAAAAGAGCUGGUGUAGCCAUCUUAAUAUCAAACAAAAUAAACUUUAGCACAAAAACUGUGAAGAGAGACAAAGAGGGGCACUAUAUAAUGAUUAAGGGAUCAAUUCAACAGGAAGAUAUAAUGUUUAUCAAUGUAUAUGCACCUAAUUACAGGGCACCUGUUUAUUUAAAAGAUAUGUUAAGGAAGUUAAAGGGAGACUUAGACUCCAAUACAAUAGUACUGGGGGACUUCAAUACUCCACUCUCAGAAAUAGACAGAUCAACCGGACAGAAGAUCAACAAGGAAACAGUAGAUUUAAAUGACACUAUAGCCCAAAUGGAUGCAACAGAUAUCUACACUUAAAGAAUUUACAUUCUUCUCAGCAGUACAUGGAACCUACUCUAGGAUUGACCAUAUACUAUGCCAUAAAGCAAGUCUCAGCAAAUUCAAAAGAAUUAGAAUCAUAUGAUGCAGCUUCUCAGACCACAGUGAAAUGAAGUUGGAAAUUAGCAACUCAGGAAUCCCCAAACUUUGUUUUCUGAAUCUUUGAUUUUAUAAGAUUUGACAAAAUUACCUAAAUAUUUACCAAGUAUGAUUAUACACAGUAGUCACAAACUUGUUGAUUCCCUGAAAAUUAGAAAAAAUUUAUUUUUCUCUAGUUAUGUUUUAUAUCAAAAAUGUAUUUGCAUUUUAAUAUAUUUUGCAAAUUACUUUCUCUAAAUGAGCACAUUUUUCCAAAAUACAAUCAGGUUACUCAAGUAUAUAGAGCAAGUGCAGAAACUAAAUGUAAUAGGAAGGGAAAAGUGAAAGUGUUUCAGCCUAUGCUUGAAAAUUAUAUUUGCUUUACUGUAAUGUAUCUAGGAUAUAAAAGAAAAUGAAAACAUAAAUGCAUGGUAAUAGCCAUUCCAUGGUCUACCUUACUCAUCAAUAUUUUAUCAUUUAAUUUUAUAAGGUGUACUAUUUAAAAUGCAUCAUUAGUUUUUGAAAAAGUAUAUAAUGGCCUUUAUUCAUCAAUAGCCUUUUAGAUAAUAUUAGACUUCACAAAAUGAUGCUUUCUUUAAUAUAACUACUUAAAUUUUUAAAUUAAAAUUUUCUAAAACCACAUAUUUUAAAAAUUAAAAUAUUCAAACCUAGUUUUUUUCCUUAUUAAGAUAGAGUAGAAAUUAUAUUGUGGCUCUAAUAGCCAUUCAAUCCCCCUCUUUCUAUGUACUUAAAUUUGCAGAGCCUCCAUACCCCAUAAAGAUGCCUGGUUCAGGGGAAACAGACCCCAUUUCUAGGAUCCUUUUAUGUGAGCUAAUCAGAAUAACUAUAUUCUCCUCACCAGUGAUUGGUUUACAAAUGAGCAUGUGACCAAUGCCAGCUUACAAGGCAAUCAGGCAAGCUUUCUGUAGGGCAUAUAGGAAAGUGACUGUGUGACAGCAAACCACCAUAACACCAAAUUGAGGCUUGCUCUUCCAUUUUCCCCUUUCUCUCAGAAGGAUGCUAACCACCUGUCAGCCUAACUGAUACCACUCUCCAUAAAGUUCUCAAAUUACCAUGUCUUGCCAAUCAAAAAGCUCAGCCAGAUGCCUAAGGGACUAACUCAUCAAAAAUAGCACAAGAAUGAUUUGUAAAAGUAUUAAAUCGUGCCUCUACUGUGGAUUUUUUGCAGAAGCCCCCUUGCAACAGCUGUGUUCAGGCCACCUGUCCAUCUCAGUCUGGAAUCCCAUAUGUAAAUUGCCCUGAUAAACUAUUUUACUUUUGUCCAGGGAUUCCUUCUUUAAUUUUGGUAUCGUGAUUUUCAGGGGCAAUACAUCCUCUACCUACACACUUGAUUGGUGUGGUUGAAUGAGAUAUGUGGGGCUACUGAAUUUUAACAUAAACUCAAGGCAUGCAGUCAGGCCUAUCUAAGGGAUUUUGGACACUCUUCUGCUGUACUUUCAGUUUAAGACAGUAUAAUACAAGUUUGUUUGUUACUUAAACCAAACAUGAUAACUGACACAUUCCUUCAAAGCAGUCAGAAAAAAUCUGUGAUAUUUAAACACAUUCAGAUAAGCUUACACUAUUUUCAAAGAACAGGAACAUUACAUACACCCUUGCCUUAUCUCUGGCCUAAUUUUUGUCUAAAUGGUGCAAGUUACAAUCAUAAUUUUAAAAGAAAAAUGAAGAGAAUCUAAUAUUGUAUUAGAGAUAAUGUUUGACUUUCAUAACAUGUUAAUUUGGCAGUAAGAACCCAGGAAGUCACUGAUUUUUUAAAGGUAGGCACAUACAUACACACACACAUACACACAAUGAAAAUGAACUGUCUAGUUCCUUGGGGCAGAAAACACUCUUGGGCAGAUUCCUUUUGUACUGUUUACAUCUUAUUGAUACAAAGAAUGCCUUAGUAGAUUUUUAGUACAGUGAAUUUGGUAAUUUUUUACAGAAGAUAUAAUCAUACUGAUGUCUCAGAGUAAAUAAAAGCACCUGGAAAAACAUUGUUUUUCACUAGUAAUCUUAUAAUCAAGACAUUUUGCUUCCACAGACUCUGCUGUUAUUAAAUGUUGCAGUGUGGAGGAGAUCAAAUAAGGAGCUUUGCAAAAACAGCUAAAAAUCAGAUAUGAUAAUGGAAAGACAGAAUUAAUAGUGCAUAGGUUUAGUCUACUCUCAAAAUUUUGAUACAGAACAAAUAUAUUUGCAUUAUUUCCAUGUCUCCCUUCUUUGGUUCUUCACUCUACCAUGUUCUGAUACUUAACACAAACUUCACCUUUAAAAUACUGAUUUCAAAGCCAGCCUUGUGCUUACAAAGAGCAUGAGAUAAUAUAAUGGAUUAUAAAAAAAGAAAGAAAAAUCAAUAAGGGGAGGGAAAGGAAAACACCAACAGGAAUCUUUUGAAGAAUUGUCAGCAGAUGUAACCUAUAAAGAAACAAACAUUUCAGAAAAUCAUGACUUAAAGUCUGGGGAAUUCUAAUCUCAGAGUAUAAAUGAAUCCAAGAAGAAAUGUUGCUGAUAUACCUAUCAUAAGGAUUAAUUUAGUGACUGUAUUUGAAGUAGGUAGGCCAGGUGACAUUUGCCCCCUUUCUACUUGUGCUAGCAGCAGGCAAAAGUGGCCUUUGCACAUAGGCUAGACCAGCAACAGUGAGGAUGAAGAGACAGGGUCGUGUCUACAGUAACUACUGACCAUAGGAAACAGCGGAAGUCUCUCCAUACAUUUUUGGAAGCUGGUGGUCUGCCAAUGACAACUGGCAGAAAGACUUUGCUGAGAAUAGUACAAUCAAAUCUAUUAGGAUCUGGAAAUUAAAAUAAAACAGAUAGAUACUCAAAUAUCCCACAAUCAUCAUUAUGAAGUAGAACCAAGCUCAAUCAACACAAUCCUAAACCCACAGGGAAAAUAAAUGCAAUGGUGAAAUUUCAAGUAUGAAGGAUAAAAAGAAAGUAUAAAACAUUUUCUGAGAAUGAAUAAAAUCAGAUUAGUAUCAAUUUUUUUUUAAUAUCAACAUUGGAUGUUAGGACAUGAUAAAGUAACAUCUUUGAAGUAGGUAAGAUGGUAGCUUGCAAGGAAUAGCUGAGGUCACUGGCCUCUUCCUGCAGCCCUGCCUGCACUACUCCAAAUCCUCCACUUUCUGUUUAUCAGAAAACUGCAGUUUCUGUGAUUUUACCACUUAGUAUGGGUGUUGGCAAAAAACAAUUAACAUGGCUUCCAACUGUGUCCCCAUGAUGACCUUUAGCUCAUUAUAAGUUCAUUAUAUUAAAGCUACCAUGGCUGACACACCUACUCCGAUAAUGCACCUGAUGCCAUUCCACUCCCAAGUUUUCCACAAAAGAGCAAGUAAAUGGUUAAUAGGUACUCAACCCUCCAUUUCUUAUACAUAUUUAAUUAAACCUCAUCCCAAUACCACUCUCACACCUCUGGUUCAUAUAAAGGGACAGAAGCAAACCUUAUUCAGUGCAGUCCUAUCUUGAGCAUAUCCAUGCUCCAAUUUGAAGUGUGUACUUUGAUUUUGCAUGCAAGUAAUAUUGCAUCUCUGCUUUAUCCAUGUCUUGUCCUUGAAUUUCUUCUUGGAGACAAGAACCUAGACCCAGUCACUCAUCAUAUCUGACAAGCCAGGAGCAAGAGUUGGAAGCCUAUUCAGACAUCAGCCAGAGAGUCUUUCUCCUGACUCUCACAUCCCUUGCACUUGGGUCUUGGUUUAUUUUUGCCUUUCUCUUCUUUUUCACGACAAGCUGACCUGUUUUGAGCUCAUUUGUCUUAGCAAAACCAAAUCUGCUCCCCCCAGUUGGAUGUAGGAAGGCCAACAGCUGACACUGUGCAGAUUAGAAACUUUUGGUACUUAAGAAAGUUCAUAAUAGAGGUUGGGACUUGCUCCCAGACAGUGCAGUGCACAGGGGAUUUCUUUGUUUCUAAUCACCAUCUGGUGCACUUUCCAUAUUAACUAAUCUCUCUUUCAUUCAUGCGUUCUGAAGCUCCAGCCUUUUUGCUUCUUCUGCAUGAGUAUUCUACAGUAUAUUUUACCACACUUACUGAUGAGAUGUUUGAUCCGCAUGCAGUAAAUCUCUGCCUAUAUAAGGGAAAUAAAUUCUGUCAUCCUCUGACCAUCCUGCCUUGAGAUCCCUCGCUGUCCCAAUGGGAUAUCCUUUGGCACAUGGCCAACCUCUCCUACCUUGCUCCAACAACAAAAAGACUCCAACAUCCCCCCCCAUUCACUUUGGAGUUCAGUUUACUUCAUCAUAUGUUAUAAUUGUUGUCUCCCAUAGCCUAUCACAAAGCAUAUACUGAGGGUUCUGGAUGUGGUCCUGUGACAUGACUUAUAGUAUUCUAAGAAAUACUCCAUUUGAAAGUUUCUCCAUAUUCUUUGAAAGAACUCUCUACCAUCCCUUUAUUGAUAACUUUCAAGAUUAUUUUACCAGUCAUAUCAAGCCACUACAGGCUGGACUUGGAGCAUCAAGCAUGAUACCACCUUGCUAAAACAUUAAAAAUGAGAUCUAAAAUGUCUCAUAAUCAAUACCACUCCCACCAAAGGAAGUCCAUAGUGUCCAUGGACACUUGAGCAACAUGAAGGGGCCUGAUGGCACUCUGGCAAAAGAGCAUAUUUGAGAUUAGAACAUAAUAUUCAAAUCAAUCCACAAAAGGGCCCACUGACACGCUCAGGUCACAUAAUGAUAUGGUAGAAAUAAUGAGAAGUCAGAUCUGACAUAGACUACUGACAAGGCUCUCAUAGAGCCAGAAUGCACUCUUUUCCUAUCUUCUUUUUCCUUUCCCUGGGUUGUGGCCAGGGAGGGGCUCCUUUAAAAAUGAGAAACUCCCCCAUCUAUACCCAUGGAUUUACUCCCAGCAUGCCACUUUAAAAAAUGGGUAAAAACAAUUUUUUAGAACAAUAAAGCUUAUUUUAUUUUAUAGCACUGCCUGGCCAUAAUAUGACCUAGAGAAUUGGGAAACCUGGCCAAUAAACAAGACCUUCAACAUUAAUACUAUCCUCCAAAAUGACCCCCUUCUGUAACAGACAAAAAAAUAUGGUCAGAAAUUCCUUAUUCACAGCCCUCUUCCAAAGCCCACCAUUAGGGGAAAUUUUAGGCUUUGUUAGGUUACACCUAUCUAGAAACACCAGAUUCAGAAUAGCAGUAGAUCAACCUGCAAGAUUAACAAUAUUGAGUUACCACUCAAGGAUCAACCACCUCAAUUUCAGGUUGUCUCAUUGCAAGAACCAUCCUUAGGGGACACUGAGUCAUCUCACCCCCCCCAAUCCUCAAUUCUCCUUCAUCUUCUUUUAGCUCAACAUCUCCACCUUACAACCCAACCUAUCCUCCUCUAAGCUAACCUUUGGGACAAGUAUACUUUGUCCUCUAAGAGAGAAGGCUAUUGGUGAUACUGGUACAAUUAGAGUAAAUGCCCUUUUAUCAAUAAUUCACUUAAAUCAAUAAGCUAGAGAUGUUUUCAGAAAACCUUACCAAGUUGACUAAGGAAUUCCUGAUCCUAAUUCUAGCCUUUAACUUGACCUAAGGUGACCUACACAUCCUCCUGUCCACUUAUUGUACCUCUGAAGAAAAACAAUGAAUCUGGGCCAAAGCCCAAGGCCCCAAUGACUCCUUGGUGGCUCAAUCAGUAUGGUGAGGGAGCCACAGCAAUGCCACAAAAAGAUCCAAUAGGAACUCUCCAAAAGGUCAUGAAGAUUCAGAGCAGAGAGAUCUUCUGGUUUCCUGCUCGUAAGUUAUCACAAAAUCAUAGAGGUAACACAACAUAAGAAGAAUCUAGCCUUAUUCGUGGGACAACUGUUUGCCUUAAAAAGAUAUACUAACAUAGAACUUAGCACCCCUUCUUGCUUGGUACCCAUUUCAUCAGAGAGUCAGCCUGAUAUUUGGAAGGAACUCCAAAAGCAGGCAAUAGGACCCCAAACUUUCACGAACCAGAUGCUAGACAUAGCAUUUGGGAUAUUUAAUAAUAGGCAACCUGUAAGAUGCUUCCUCCUUACAUAUAGACUCUCUGUAACGUUCUUUGAAUUGACUGAUACAUCUUCAAAUAUGCCUUAUUAAUUUACUUGGAAGUCUUUGUCAUGGCUUUAGGAUUAUCUCUCAUUUGUUGCCAAACGUUGACCAACUAACUUAUUGAGCUCAAAUAAAAGUCAAGUAAUUUUUCCAUAUGGAGAUGAUAUUCUCAUCUUCUGUGAUCAUCUCAUCUUCUAUCCCUCUAAGAAGGACUCAGAUAAAAACACCAUUUGGAUCUUAAUUUUUAAGGAAAUAAGAUAUAGCAUUUACCCAACCAAUGUGCAGACUCUACACAGGAAAUAGCCUCUGUGGACUAUACUUGACCGAGAGAAAUUGUGCCAUCUCACAUAAGUGAAAGGAAGCCAUACUCUGUGUAGAGCUUCCAUGGACAAUAAAUAGCUAAGGACAUACUUGAGAAAGGCAGGCUUCUAAAGGAUGUCCAUUCCAGGAAUCAAAUUGAUAUCCAAACCCUAAUAUGAGGUUUUAAAUGGUCCUGAAACUGAUCAAUUUGAAUGAAUGAGCAAAAAAAACAACAUGAGGUCUUCCAAAGAUUAAGGUUCUUCUGACAGUGGUAUCUCCCUGCCUAAUUUAGACAAGUCCUUCAUCCUAUGUGUAGCUAAACUGCAAAGAGUAGCCCUUGUGGUACCACUACAUAAUUGGAUUCACUUCUGCAAACAAUGAUUUACUUUUCUAAACAACUGGACUCAGUGGCCACAAAAUGAAUAUGAUGCUUGACAGAAAUAGUUACUGCAGCACUUUUGGUAGAGGAAAUCACCCAAGUGACCUUAGACAAUCAUCUUGAAGUCCAAACUCCACAUGAAGCUAAAGGUGUUCAAGA